rnacentral:rRNA from 1 species
UGGGGAAUAUUGCACAAUGGGCGCAAGCCUGAUGCAGCCAUGCCGCGUGUGUGAAGAAGGCCUUCGGGUUGUAAAGCACUUUCAGCGGGGAGGAAGGCGUUAAGGUUAAUAACCUUGGCGAUUGACGUUACCCGCAGAAGAAGCACCGGCUAACUCCGUGCCAGCAGCCGCGGUAAUACGGAGGGUGCAAGCGUUAAUCGGAAUUACUGGGCGUAAAGCGCACGCAGGCGGUCUGUCAAGUCGGAUGUGAAAUCCCCGGGCUCAACCUGGGAACUGCAUUCGAAACUGGCAGGCUAGAGUCUUGUAGAGGGGGGUAGAAUUCCAGGUGUAGCGGUGAAAUGCGUAGAGAUCUGGAGGAAUACCGGUGGCGAAGGCGGCCCCCUGGACAAAGACUGACGCUCAGGUGCGAAAGCGUGGGGAGCAAACAGGAUUAGAUACCCUAGUAGUCCACGCCGUAAACGAUGUCGAUUUGGAGGUUGUGCCCUUGAGGCGUGGCUUCCGGAGCUAACGCGUUAAAUCGACCGCCUGGGGAGUACGGCCGCAAGGUUA